UACGUAGGGUCCGAGCGUUGUCCGGAAUUAUUGGGCGUAAAGAGCUCGUAGGCGGUUUGUCGCGUCUGCUGUGAAAUCCCGAGGCUCAACCUCGGGCCUGCAGUGGGUACGGGCAGACUGGAGUGCGGUAGGGGAGAAUGGAAUUCCUGGUGUAGCGGUGGAAUGCGCAGAUAUCAGGAGGAACACCGAUGGCGAAGGCAGCUCGCUGGGACGUGACUGACGCUGAGGAGCGAAAGCAUGGGGAGCGAACAGG
rnacentral:rRNA from 1 species